rnacentral:rRNA from 1 species
AAAUUGAAGAGUUUGAUCAUGGCUCAGAUUGAACGCUGGCGGCAGGCCUAACACAUGCAAGUCGAACGGUAGCACAGAGAGCUUGCUCUCGGGUGACGAGUGGCGGACGGGUGAGUAAUGUCUGGGAAACUGCCUGAUGGAGGGGGAUAACUACUGGAAACGGUGGCUAAUACCGCAUAAUGUCGCAAGACCAAAGAGGGGGACCUUCGGGCCUCUUGCCAUCAGAUGUGCCCAGAUGGGAUUAGCUAGUUGGUGAGGUAACGGCUCACCAAGGCGACGAUCCCUAGCUGGUCUGAGA